rnacentral:rRNA from 1 species
UGAAGUAAGUAAGGGCGUACGGUGAAUGCCUUGGUGCCAACAGGCGAAGAAGGACGCGGCAAGCUGCGAAAAUCCUCGGGAAGCUGCAAGCAAGCGAUGAUCCGGGGAUAUCCGAAUGGGGUAACCUGAUCGAGGCAAUACUCGAUCGUUCAUACCUGAAUACAUAGGGUAUGAAACGCGAAACCCGCUGAAGUGAAACAUCUCAGUAAGCGGAGGAAAAGAAAGAGAAAUCGAUUCCGUAAGUAGUGGCGAGCGAAAGCGGAUGGAGCCCAAACCGAAGGUAUUCCUUCGGGGUUGUAGGACCACGUCAUAUUCGACCAUACUGGAUAGUAGAACAGCCUGGAAAGGCUGGCCGGAGAAGGUGAAAGCCCUGUAGACGAAAUCCAGAGUGGGAAUUAGUGGUAUCCUGAGUAAUACAUCACACGUGGAACGAUGUAUGAACCCGCGCGGACCACCGCGCAAGGCUAAAUACUAGUUGGCGACCGAUAGUGAACAAGUACCGCGAGGGAAAGGUGAAAAGAACCGCUGUGAGCGGAGUGAAAUAGAACCUGAAACCGUAUGUCUACAAAGUGUCAGAGCAGAGCAAUCUGCGAUGGCGUGCCUUUUGUUUAAUGAGUCUGCGAGUCAGUGUUUGUGGCAAGACUAAGGGCUUCCGGCCCGGAGUCGCAGCGAAAGCAAGUCCGAACAGGGCGCAAUAAGUCGCAGGUACUGGACCCGAAGCGGAGGUGACCUACCCUUGGCCAGGUUGAAGCAUGGGUAAAACCAUGUGGAGGACCGAACAGGUGAACGUUGAAAAGUUCUCUGAUGAGCUGAGGGUAGGAGUGAAAGGCUAAUCAAACCCCGUGAUAGCUGGUUCUCUUCGAAAUGCAUUUAGGUGCAGCGUCACGUGCUGAUGCGCGGGGGUAGAGCACUGACAAGGCUAGGGGGCACACCCGCUUACCAAACCUUAUCAAACUCCGAAUACCGUGCAAUGGAACGUGGCAGUGAGACAGUGGGGGAUAAGCUUCAUUGUCGAGAGGGAAACAACCCAGACCAGCAGCUAAGGUGCCUAAAUAACGCUCAGUGGAAAGGAUGUGGGAUUACACAGACAGUGAGGAUGUUGGCUUAGAAGCAGCCACCAUUUAAAAAAUGCGUAAUAGCUUACUCAUCGAGUGAUCCUGCGCCGAAAAUGAUUGGCGAUCAAGCGUUAUACCGAAGCUCUGGACUUUGCCGCAAGGCAGAGUGGUAGAAGAGCGUUGCAUGCGCGUCGAAGGGCGAUGGCGACUGACCCUGGAGCACAUGCAAGUGAGUAUGCAGACAUGAGUAACGUUAAGCCGGGUGAAAUCCCCGGCCGCCGUAAACCCGAGGUUUCCAGGGCAACGUGUUUCGUCCCUGGGUUAGCCGGGACCUAAGCCGAGGCCGAGAGGCGUAGGCGAUGGACAUCAGGUUAAUAAUCCUGAGCUCGCAACCCUUAAACUGGGGGGACGCAUGAGAAAAGAUGACUAGGUUAUUGAAUUCCGAGUUGAGUCUACGGACUCAGCGCAUCAUUGGAUCGAGUGCCAAGAAAAGCCCCAGCGUAUGCUAAGCGACCCGUACCGCAAACCGACACAGGUGGGUGGGUAGAAUAUACCAAGGCGUAAGAGUGAAACCUGGUUAAGGAACUCGGCAAAUUAGCCCCGUAACUUCGGAAGAAGGGGUGCCUGCAGCGAUGCAGGCCGCAGAGAAAUGGCCCAACCGACUGUUUAUCAAAAACACAGCACUCUGCAAAGACGCAAGUCGAAGUAUAGGGUGUGACACGUGACCAAUGCCGAAAGAUUAAGGCAAGGGGUUAGCCGCAAGGCGAAGCUCUAAACCCAAGUCCCGGUGAAUGUCGGCCGUAACUAUAACGGUCCUAAGGUAGCGAAAUUCCUUGUCGGGUAAGUUCCG